GACGAACGCUGGCGGCGUGCUUAACACAUGCAAGUCGAGCGGUAAGGCCCUUUCGGGGUACGACGAGCGGCGAACGGGUAGGAGUAACAACGUGGGUGGACCUGCCCUCCAGCUCUGGGAGUAAGCCUGGGAAACCGGGGUACUAAUACCGGAUAUGACUCCAUGACGCAUGUUGUGGGGUGGAAAGCCUUGUGCGGCUGAGGAUGGGCCCG
rnacentral:rRNA from 1 species